rnacentral:tRNA from 1 species
CCGUCAAUAGCUCAGUUGGUAGAGCGGUGGACUGUAGUAAUGAUUCAAGACGUGCGUGAAAGUCGUGAAUUUCGUGAGUCAUCCAUAGGUCGCUGGUUCAACUCCGGCUCGACGGA